ACUCAACACGAUUUAUUUAAAAAGGGUGAGUUUUAGUUGCAAGAGCGUGCCAUAAUUUCGUGGAUUAUCGACCAACUAGUUAGCCCUAAACUUGUUUACAUGGAGUUU
rnacentral:sRNA from 1 species